CACCUGUCAGGAUUUUGCCAUCUCCUGCACAGCCUGAGGGGAGCUAACAGGCCUCUUUGCAGAGGGUUAGCUGUUUGUGCGGGGGCUUAAGGACCUCCUGAAGACCGCUGCUCUCUGCCUCUCCAGGAGCGGCCUGGGGGGAGCCAGGCACCCGGCACCUCCACCUGCCUAACCCGGGCCACCGUCUGUGCCUACAGGGUCUGCCCCCAAGCCUGCCCCACACGUGUUCUCACUAGGGCCCCCCAUAGGAGGCAGGGGCUGGCCUCUCUGCCCCCGCCCCCCUCCACGCGGCCAGUGUAGAAAGCCAUAAAGCUGCUGUCGGCACGAUGACAUAAUACUAUGCUGAAACUCGCCCUCCCCUCCUCCGCUCUCCUUCCCCUUCCCCGGAACUGUAAGGAGUGAGGACUCUAGGAAUCUUGCCUUAGAGCCUGCCCAGCCCCAGAAUCAGGCACGGCUCUAGUUGAGCCGAGCAGGUUUCUUCAAGGAGCCGUCUGGGGUGCCAAGCAGGUUUCUUCAAGGAGCCGUCUGGGGUGCUGACUGAUGCUGCUGAACAAGUUCGGUGACUGUCCCAAGCACAGCUGGUCUGACGCUGUUCCCACGGCGCCACCCCGCCCCCGGAGCAGGUAGGACGCCAGGAGAAUGCUUGUACCCUUUGCUCCAGGCACUGAGGGACUGAGCUGGCUCUGGCAACCCCGUGCUCUCCAGAGGAACUAAAGGAAACCAGGCCGGGCCUAGGAAGUCUGCUGAGCCCAUGGGCGUGCGGUGGGUGCUGCUUGUCUGCUGUCCUGUACCUUUUUUAACCAAAAUAAAGAUUUCCCUCUUCUUGCCAUA